GAGGGUAUAGCUCAGUGCUAGAGUGUGUGCUUAGCAUGCACAAGGUCCUGGGUUCAAUCCUCAGUACCUCCA
rnacentral:tRNA from 1 species